rnacentral:rRNA from 1 species
UACCUGGUUGAUCCUGCCAGUAGUCAUAUGCUUGUCUCAAA